rnacentral:rRNA from 1 species
UACGUAGGUGGCAAGCGUUGUCCGGAUUUACUGGGCGUAAAGGGCGCGUAGGCGGCCAUCUAAGUCAGACGUGAAAUCCCCCGGCUUAACCUGGGAACUGCGUCUGAUACUGGAAGGCUUGAGUAUGGGAGAGGGAUGUAGAAUUCCAGGUGUAGCGGUGAAAUGCGUAGAUAUCUGGAGGAAUACCGGUGGCGAAGGCGGCAUCCUGGACCAUUACUGACGCUGAGGCGCGAAAGCUAGGGGAGCAAACGGG